rnacentral:rRNA from 1 species
GACGAACGCUGGCGGCGUGCUUAACACAUGCAAGUCGAACGAAGUGGCGAACGGGUUAGUAAUACGUGGGUAACCUUCCCUCCUUUUUGGGAUAAGCCUUUGCAACGGGGUCUAAUACUGAAUAAAGGGGGAUGGGUUCGCGGCCUAUCAGCUUGUUGGGGGGGUGAUGGCCUACCAAGGCGGUGCAGGGUAGCCGGCCUGAGAGGGGGACCGGGCAGAUUGGGAGUGAGAUAGGGACCAGAGUCCUACGGGAGGGAGAAGUGGGGGAUAGUGCACAAUGGGAGAAAGCAUGGUGCAGCGAAGGCGCGUGGGGGAUGAAGGCUUUAGGGUGGUAAACCUGUGUCGAUAUCGAACGGGUAGGUGGAGAAGAAGCGACGGCUAACUACGUGCAAGCAGCCGCGGUAAUAC